GACGAACGCUGGCGGCGUGCUUAACACAUGCAAGUCGAACGGAAAGGCCUGCUUUCCCUUGUGGAUUGCGGGUACUCGAGUGGCGAACGGGUGAGUAACACGUGAGUGAUCUGCCCCCAACUUGGGUAUAAGCCUGGGAAACUGGGUCUAAUUCCCGAUAGGACUGCAGGGUGGUGCCUGUGGUGGAAAACGAUUUUCUAGUGGUUGGGGAUGAGCUCGCGGCCUAUCAGCUUGUUGGUGGGGUAAUGGCCUACCAAGGCGGCGACGGGUAGCCGGCCUGAGAGGGUGGACGGCCACAUUGGGACUGAGAUACGGCCCAGACUCCCACGGGAGGCAGCAGUGGGGAAUAUUGCACAAUGGGCGGAAGCCUGAUGCAGCGACGCCGCGUGGGGGAUGACGGCCUUCGGGUUGUAAACUCCUUUCGACCGCGAGGAAACCACCUGGUUGGAAGGGUGGUGACGGUAGUGGUAGAAGAAGCACCGGCUAACUACGUG
rnacentral:rRNA from 1 species